rnacentral:rRNA from 1 species
GAUGAACGCUGGCGGCGUGCCUAAUACAUGCAAGUCGAGCGAACGGACGAGAAGCUUGCUUCUCUGAUGUUAGCGGCGGACGGGUGAGUAACACGUGGAUAACCUACCUAUAAGACUGGGAUAACUUCGGGAAACCGGAGCUAAUACCGGAUAAUAUUUUGAACCGCAUGGUUCAAAAGUGAAAGACGGUCUUGCUGUCACUUAUAGAUGGAUCCGCGCUGCAUUGGCUAGUUGGUAAGGUAACGGCUUACCAAGGCAACGAGGCAUAGCCGACCUGUGAGGGGGAUCGGCCACACUGGAGCUGAGACACGCUCCAGACUCCUACGGGACGCAGCAGUAGGGAAUCUUCCGCAAUGGGCGAAAACCUGACGGAGCAACGCCGCGUGAGUGAUGAAGGUCUUCGGAUCGUAAAACUCUGUUAUUAGGGAAGAACAUAUGUGUAAGUAACUGUGCACAUCUUGACGGUACCUAAUCAGAAAGCCACGGCUAACUACGUG